UACGUAGGGGGCAAGCGUUGUCCGGAAUCAUUGGGCGUAAAGCGCGUGUAGGCGGCCCAGUAAGUCCGCUCUGAAAGCCCGGGGCUCAACUCCGGGAGGCGGGUGGAUACUGCUGGGCUCGAGUCCGGAAGAGGCGAGUGGAAUUCCUGGUGUAGCGGUGAAAUGCGCAGAUAUCAGGAGGAACACCAAUGGCGAAGGCAGCUCGCUGGGACGGUACUGAUGCUGAGACGCGAAAGCGUGGGGAGCAAACAGG
rnacentral:rRNA from 1 species